AGACUGCAGUCACACUCGGGUAUCUCCCGCUGUCUUGGUGUGCCGGAGUCCAAAAAGAGCAACUGCUGGCUUUAUUCUACUGUGACCCUUCAGCAUCAUCAGUCACCGAGUUAAUGGCAUGC
rnacentral:snoRNA from 1 species